rnacentral:tRNA from 1 species
GAGUAUAUAGCUCAGUGGUAGAGUGUGUGCUUAGCAUGCACAAGGUCCAGAGUUCAAUCCCCAGUACCUCCA